CCUACGGGUGGCAGCAGUGGGGGAUAUUGCACAAUGGGGGGAACCCUGAUGCAGCGACGCCGCGUGGGUGAAGAAGCGCCUCGGCGCGUAAAGCCCUGUCAGCAGGGAAGAAAAUGACAGUACUUGAAGAAUAAGCCCCGGCUAACUACGUGCCAGCAGCCGCGGUAAUACGUAGGGGGCAAGCGUUAUCCGGAUUUACUGGGUGUAAAGGGGGCGCAGGUGGCGGUGCAAGCCAGGAGUGAAAGCCCGGGGCCCAACCCCGGGACUGCUCGUGGUACUGCGUGGCUGGAGUGCAGGAGGGGGAGGUGGAAUUCCAGGUGUAGCGGUGAAAUGCGUAGAGAUCAGGAGGAACACCGGUGGCGAAGGCGGCCUGCUGGACUGCAACUGACGUUGAGGCCCGAAAGCGUGGGGAGCAAACAGGAUUAGAUACCCUAGUAGUC
rnacentral:rRNA from 1 species